GAUGAACGCUAGCUACAGGCUUAACACAUGCAAGUCGAGGGGCAGCGGGAUUGAAGCUUGCUUCAAUUGCCGGCGACCGGCGCACGGGUGAGUAACGCGUAUCCAACCUUCCGUACACUCAGGGAUAGCCUUUCGAAAGAAAGAUUAAUACCUGAUGGUAUGAUGAGAUUGCAUGAUAGCAUCAUUAAAGAUUUAUCGGUGUACGAUGGGGAUGCGUUCCAUUAGGUAGUAGGCGGGGUAACGGCCCACCUAGCCUACGAUGGAUAGGGGUUCUGAGAGGAAGGUCCCCCACAUUGGAACUGAGACACGGUCCAAACUCCUACGGGAGGCAGCAGUGAGGAAUAUUGGUCAAUGGGGCAGAGCCUGAACCAGCCAAGUAGCGUGAAGGAUGACGGCCCUAUGGGUUGUAAACUGCUUUUAUAAGGGAAUAAAGUGAGUCUCGUGAGACUUUUUGCAUGUACCUUAUGAAUAAGGACCGGCUAAUUCCGUGCCAGCAG
rnacentral:rRNA from 1 species